rnacentral:rRNA from 1 species
UACGUAGGGUGCAAGCGUUGUCCGGAAUUAUUGGGCGUAAAGAGCUCGUAGGCGGUCUGUCGCGUCUGCUGUGAAAUCUCAGGGCUUAACCCUGAGCUUGCAGUGGGUACGGGCAGACUAGAGUGCGGUAGGGGAGACUGGAAUUCUCGGUGUAGCGGUGAAAUGCGUAGAUAUCGAGAGGAACACCUGCGGCGAAGGCGGGUUGCUGGGCUGACACUGACGCUGAUGCGCGAAAGCCAGGGGAGCGAACGGG